rnacentral:misc_RNA from 1 species
CUCCUUCUUUGUAAGAUGAAUUUCUUGACAACUAUGCUCCUAACAAGAUGAUAGAUGAUCAGUUUCCUUCUGGAAACUAACAGCAGCAGCUCAAUUUCAGAACCAUUAACAGUGCUCAAUCGGAGCAUCCUGCUGCGAAUAUAAAUGUGCUGCAGCAGGUGGAUCAACAAUUAUCUGAGCUGCCUCUGUCCCUACUUCUACCAGAUAAAUCCCCGUUUAAAGUUGCAAUUUGAAUUAAACGUCAACUGAAUACCAGACAUAAGGAUACAAAAAUUGAAACAAGACAUGGGUCGGUCAACAGCUAACAGUAGCAGUUGAUCAAAAUUGGUAGGAAUUGUCAGAUCCAUAUUUGCUUCUCAUAUUGUAACGGUCAAAUUUUGGAUUAUCAUACUCUACAGGCUUCAUCUCAGCAGGUUUUGGCUCUGCCCCAGCUGCUCCAAAAACCACCUCCCCACUCUUAUCUCGUUGGCGAUGCCUUGUUUUCUCUUUGUGGCUCCUGGACCUGCCAGAAGAAGGCACCUCACCUGAUCCAUAGAAUUCUG